rnacentral:rRNA from 1 species
UUGAACGCUGGCGGCAGGCCUAACACAUGCAAGUCGAGCGGAUGACGGGAGCUUGCUCCUUGAUUCAGCGGCGGACGGGUGAGUAAUGCCUAGGAAUCUGCCUGGUAGUGGGGGACAACGUUUCGAAAGGAACGCUAAUACCGCAUACGUCCUACGGGAGAAAGCAGGGGACCUUCGGGCCUUGCGCUAUCAGAUGAGCCUAGGUCGGAUUAGCUAGUUGGUGGGGUAAUGGCUCACCAAGGCGACGAUCCGUAACUGGUCUGAGAGGAUGAUCAGUCACACUGGAACUGAGACACGGUCCAGACUCCUACGGGAGGCAGCAGUGGGGAAUAUUGGACAAUGGGCGAAAGCCUGAUCCAGCCAUGCCGCGUGUGUGAAGAAGGUCUUCGGAUUGUAAAGCACUUUAAGUUGGGAGGAAGGGCAGUAAGCUAAUACCUUGCUGUUUUGACGUUACCGACAGAAUAAGCACCGGCUAACUCUGUGCCAGCAGCCGCGGUAAUACAGAGGGUGCAAGCGUUAAUCGGAAUUACUGGGCGUAAAGCGCGCGUAGGUGGUUUGUUAAGUUGGAUGUGAAAGCCCCGGGCUCAACCUGGGAACUGCAUCCAAAACUGGCAAGCUAGAGUACGGUAGAGGGUGGUGGAAUUUCCUGUGUAGCGGUGAAA